rnacentral:rRNA from 1 species
AGGGUGUAAACGCUGCAGACUUGGUGUUGGAAGCCCUUUGGGGGCAUUCAGUGCCGGAGAGAAGUUGUUAAGUCUGCUACUUGGGGAGUACGUCCGCAAGGAUGAAACUUAAAGGAAUUGGCGGGGGAGCACCGCAACGGGAGGAGCGUGCGGUUUAAUUGGAUUCAACACCGUAAAACUCACCAGGGAAGACUGUUACAUGAAGGCCGAGAUGAAGGUUUUACAUGACUAGCUGAGAGGUGGUGCAUGGCGUCAGUGACU